UACGAAGGGGGCUAGCGUUGCUCGGAAUUACUGGGCGUAAAGCGCACGUAGGCGGCUUUCUAAGUCGGGGGUGAAAUCCUGGAGCUCAACUCCAGAACUGCCUUCGAUACUGGAGAGCUCGAGUCCGGGAGAGGUGAGUGGAACUGCGAGUGUAGAGGUGAAAUUCGUAGAUAUUCGGAAGAACACCAGUGGCGAAGGCGACUUACUGGACACAUAUUGACGCUGAGGUGCGAAAGCGUGGGGAGCAAACAGG
rnacentral:rRNA from 1 species